AUGGUCAAGGAAUUUGUGCAACAAUGCCAGACAUGUCAGAAAGCAAAAACAGAGAGGAUUUCCCCAGCCGGCCUACUACAGCCCUUGCCAAUACCAAAACGAGCAUGGGCAGUGAUUUCGCUCGACUUCAUCGAAGGAUUGCCUACAUCGGGUGGUUAUAAUGUCAUCCUCGUGGUUGUGGAUAAGUUCUCUAAAUACGGACACUUCCUGCCAAUGAAGCACCCAUACACAACUCUGUCAGUGGCUGUGACCUUCAUGCACAAUAUCUUUAAGCUCCACGUGAUGCCUCUAGCAAUCAUCUCCGAUCGUGACAGGGUGUUCACCAGCAACCUUUGGCAAGAGAUGUUCAAGCUAGCCCAGACACAACUAUGA
rnacentral:rRNA from 1 species